rnacentral:rRNA from 1 species
GACGAACGCUGGCGGCGUGCUUAACACAUGCAAGUCGAACGGAAAGGCCCUGCUUUUGUGGGGUGCUCGAGUGGCGAACGGGUGGGUAACACGUGAGUAACCUGCCCUUGACUUUGGGAUAACUUCAGGAAACUGGGGCUAAUACCGGAUAGGAGCUCCUGCUGCAUGGUGGGGGUUGGAAAGUUUCGGCGGUUGGGGAUGGACUCGCGGCUUAUCAGCUUGUUGGUGGGGUAGUGGAUUACCAAGGCUUUGACGGGUAGCCGGCCUGAGAGGGUGACCGGCCACAUUGGGCCUGAGAUGCGGCCCGGACUCCUACGGGAGGCAGAGGUGGGGAAUAUUGCACGAUGGGCGGAAGCCUUAUGCAGCAACGCCGCGUGCGGGAUGACGGCCUUAGGGUUGUAAACCGCUUUCGCCUGUGACGAAGCGUGAGUGACGGUAAUGGGUAAAGAAGCACCGGCUAACUACGUG